CACUUAGGUCUCAGCAUGUUUUCUGGCUGCAGCAGGGCUCGGACUUGGCUAUUUUUUUAUUUUUUCUUUUAAGUAAAUUAGAGCAAAGGCGGUUUGAAAAGGGUGAGGUUUGAUUCAGUGUGCCUGGCUCGGGGGCCGGUUCCAUUCCCUCCCAGCUAUAUAAUUGCUGACUGUAUUUUUAAUCACAGGGACGGAAAGGACGAUGGAAAGGGGUGCGAGGGCUUCCACUAAAAAAGUGACCCCUGCGAGGACUGGGCGGGGGGGAAGGAGGGGACACGAAGAAGAACAAACCCAGACAGAGCUCUUCUUUCCCCUGCUCCCUCUCUCACCUGAUUUGAGCCCCACUGUUCCACAAAGCCAGCAAGGAGAACCCAGUGGAGGCCAAGCCAGCAGCAGCCCUCCUGAACUUCAGGCUGGAUUCAUUCGGUGGAUUGGAACUCCUAGUUACAGAAAUCUCUCCAUGCUGACUUUUCCAUAUGUAAACAACCUAUGCAGCAUUUUGUAAUGUAAAACAAAUGUGUGGGGGACGUGCUGAUUUCCAGUACACAGAGAUGCAAUACCAGGAGUAGCUGUGGUACCAUUCCAUGAAGCAAAAGGAGCACAGGAACACUUCUUUGUGCCAGAGCUACAUACUGAAGAUGCUACAAAAUGUGAUUUAUUGCCACAUGAGGGAUGGACUGAACCCACAGAAUACCGAUGUUCUAAUGGUGUGCAAAAACUCACAAUAUCUGGAAUUUUGCAGCUCCAAGACCGAAAUUUUGCAAACACUAAUUAUUUGCAGAUGUUGCCUUACCUUACUUGCAAGUGUGAGUGUCUGCACACUCACACUUGUAACUGCAGAAGGGAGAGGGAGGGGAUCUCUGUAAAUAAACUGCUUAAGUAGAAAACCAAAUAGUCAAA
rnacentral:lncRNA from 12 species